rnacentral:rRNA from 1 species
AACGAACGCUGGCGGCAGGCUUAACACAUGCAAGUCGAACGCCCCGCAAGGGGAGUGGCAGACGGGUGAGUAACGCGUGGGAAUCCACCCAGUUCUACGGAAUAACCCAGGGAAACUUGGACUAAUACCGUAUACGCCCUACGGGGGCAAGAUUUAUCGGAAUUGGAUGAGACCGCGUUGGGUUAGCUAGUUGGUGGGGUAAUGGCCUACCAAGGCGCCGAUCUAUAGCUGGUCUGAGAGGAUGAGCAGCCAGACUGGGACUGAGACACGGCCCAGACUCCUACGGGAGGCAGCAGUGGGGAAUAUUGGAAAAUGGGCGCAAGCCUGAUCCAGCCAUGCCGCGUGAGUGAUGAAGGCCUUAGGGUUGUAAAGCUCUUUCAGUGGGGACGAUAAUGACGGUACCCACAGAAGAAGCCCCGGCUAACUUCGCGCCAGCCGCCGCGGUAAUAC